AGGCUCCCAGGAACAGUCAGCUGACCCCCAAGAUAAAGCUCCAGACUGAGGAGCUGCACUCCAUCAGGGGAGAGCUGAGCCAGAUCAAAGUCCAGGUGGACCGCCUGUUGGACAGUGUGGAGCGCAUGGACCAGCAGAGGGACCAGCUUUCAGGGACAGAGGACUGUCAACAGAACAGGGGCUCUGGGGGUAAAGGUCCCUCAUGCAGAACCACUGAACCCCAGCAGGAGCCCAGGGGCCAAAGGGCCCAUCCAGCGGCGGACAGC